rnacentral:lncRNA from 1 species
GGGUAUUCCGGUACAGAGUCAAUGUGGAGGCUAUAUACAGGGGGUACCGGUACAGAGUCAAUGUGGAGGCUAUAUACAGGGGGUACCGGUACAGAGUCAAUGUGGAGGCUAUAUACAGGGGGUACUGGUACAGAGUCAAUGUGGAGGCUAUAUACAGGGGGUACCGGUACAGAGUCAAUGUGGAGGCUAUAUACAGGGGGGUACGGUACAGAGUCAAUGUGGAGGCUAUAUACAGGGGGUACCGGUACAGAGUCAAUGUGGAGGCUAUAUACAGGGGGUACCGGUACAGAGUCAAUGUGGAGGCUAUAUACAGGGGGUACCGGUACAGAGUCAAUGUGGAGGCUAUAUACAGGGGGUACCGGUACAGAGUCAAUGUGGAGGCUAUAUACAGGGUAUUACGGUACAGAGUCAAUGUGGAGGCUAUAUACAGGGGGUACCGUACAGAGUCAAUGUGGAGGCUAUAUACAGGGGGUACCGGUACAGAGUCAAUGUGGAGGCUAUAUACAGGGGUACCGGUACAGAGUCAAUGUGGAGGCUAUAUACAGGGGGUACCGGUACAGAGUCAAUGUGGAGGCUAUAUACAGGGGUACCGGUACAGAGUCAAUGUGGAGGCUAUAUACAGGGGGUACCGGUACAGAGUCAAUGUGGAGGCUAUAUACAGGAGGUACCGGUACAGAGUCAAUGUGGAGGCUAUAUACAG